AAUGGAUCAGUGAUGCUCAUUUAUACAAUACUGCGUUAUCUUUCUGAAAAAUCCUCUAAGGACUUGAAGAUAACUGUAAUUUACUGAGAUCCCCC